GCCUGCAGCUUGUUGAAACAGUAUACCAGAAUUCUAUCUGAUCUUGGCAGGUAAGCAGGGUCAGCCCUGGUAAGUACUUGGAAAGGAGAUUACCCAUGAAAGCUAGGUGCUGCAGGUG
rnacentral:rRNA from 11 species